rnacentral:rRNA from 1 species
UGCUUAACACAUGCAAGUCGAACGAACCUUCGGGUUAGUGGCGGACGGGUGAGUAACGCGUGUUAAUCUGCCCUCAGGAGGGGGAUAACGGUUGGAAACGACCGCUAAUACCCCAUAUGCCGAGAGGUGAAACGAAAUUCGCCUGAGGAUGAGCCCGCGUCUGAUUAGCUAGUUGGUGGGGUAAAGGCCUACCAAGGCAUCGAUCAGUAGCUGGUCUGAGAGGAUGAUCAGCCACACUGGGACUGAGACACGGCCCACACUCCUACGGGAGGCAGCAGUGGGGAAUUUUCCGCAGUGGGCGCAAGCCUGACGGAGCAACGCCGCGUGAGGGAUGAAGGCCUCUGGGCUGUAAACCUCUUUUCUCAAGGAAGAAGAACUGACGGUACUUGAGGAAUAAGCCACGGCUAAUUCCGUGCCAGCAGCCGCGGUAAUACGGGAGUGGCAAGCGUUAUCCGGAAUUAUUGGGCGUAAAGCGUCCGCAGGCGGCCUUGAAAGUCUGUCGUAAAAGCGUGAAGCUUAACUCCAUUUCGGCGGUGAAAACUACAAGGCUUGAGUGGGGGAGGGGGAGAGGGAACUUCCGGUGAAGCGAUGGAAAUGCACAGAUUUCGGGNNGNNCCCCCGUGGCGNNNGCGCUCUUCUGGCCCAUAACUGAACACUGAGAGAUGACAGCGAGGGAGGGCCUUGGAUUAGAUUCCUUGGUAGUCUCAGCCCUAAAUGGGGAUACUAGAUGUUGCCACAAGCAGCGUCGAAGCUAACGCGUUAAGUAUCCCACCUGGGGAGUACGUACGCAAGUAUGAAACUCAAAGGAAUUGACGGGAAUUGACACAAGUGGUGGAUUAUGUGGUUUAAUUUGAUGCAACGCGGAGAACCUUACCAGGGAUUGACAUGGUGAGAAUCUUUCCGAAGGGGAAGAGUGCCCUUUGGGGAACUCACACACAGGUGGUGCAUGGCUGUCGUCAGCUCGUGCCGUGAGGUGUUUGGUUAAGUCCAAUAACGAGCGCAACCCUUGUUUGCUGUUAAAUGUCUGCAAAGACUGCCAGUGUAAACUGGAGGAAGGAAAGGAUGACGUCAAGUCAGCAUGCCCCUUACGUCCUGGGCUACACACGUAAUACAAUGGGUGAGACAAUCAGAAGCGAUCUCGCGAGAGCUAGCGAAUCUGCUAAACUCAUCCUCAGUUCGGAUUGUAGGCUGCAACUCGCCUACAUGAAGCCGGAAUCACUAGUAAUCGCCAGUCAGCUAUAUGGCGGUGAAUACGUUCCUCAAUUUUGCAC